rnacentral:rRNA from 1 species
GCGGCCUAUCAGCUUGUUGGUGAGGUAAAGGCUCACCAAGGCGACGACGGGUAGCCGGCCUGAGAGGGCGACCGGCCACACUGGGACUGAGACACGGCCCAGACUCCUACGGGAGGCAGCAGUAGGGAAUAUUGGGCAAUGGGCGAAAGCCUGACCCAGCGACGCCGCGUGAGGGAUGAAGGUCUUCGGAUUGUAAACCUCUUUCAGUAGGGAAGAAGCGAAAGUGACGGUACCUAAAGAAGAAGCACCGGCUAACUAUGUGCCAGCAACCGCGGUAAUACAUAGGGUGCAAGCGUUGUCCGGAAUUAUUGGGCGUAAAGAGCUCGUAGGUCGUUUGUCGCGUCGAUUGUGAAAAUCUGAGGCUCAGCCUCAGACCUGCAGUCGAUACGGGCAAACUAGAGUGUGGUAGGGGAGACUGGAAUUCCU